CCUACGCGAGGCAGCAGUGGGGGAUAUUGCACAAUGGGGGGAACCCUGAUGCAGCGACGCCGCGUGGGUGAAGAAGCGCCUCGGCGCGUAAAGCCCUGUCAGCAGGGAAGAAAAUGACGGUACCUGAAGAAGAAGCCCCGGCUAACUACGUGCCAGCAGCCGCGGUAACACGUAGGGGGCAAGCGUUAUCCGGAUUUACUGGGUGUAAAGGGGGCGCAGACGGCGAUGCAAGCCAGGAGUGAAAGCCCGGGGCCCAACCCCGGGACUGCUCGUGGACCUGCGUGGCUGGAGUGGAGGAGGGGCAGGCGGAAUUCGUGGUGGAGCGGUGAAAUGCGUAGAUACCAGGAGGA
rnacentral:rRNA from 1 species